CGGAAGAUAUUUUUAUCCUUUUAAAUGAUAGAAAGCUGCCGUUAUUGUAUCGUUAUAUAGCUUUCAACUCAAGACAUGUGCAACAGAUCCGCUGUAGCACACAGGUUAAUUUCAAAUCAAUUGAAUGAAAUCCGGGUUCGAAACCCGGCAGCGGAAUAUAUUUUUUCUUUUUGAACAGAGAUAAGAAGUGCUGCUAUUAUUAAAUUGUUAUAUAAAUUUCAACGCAAAACAAGUGCAACAGAUCUGCUGUCACACAGGUUAAUUUCAAAUCAAUUGAAUGAAAUCCGGGUUCAACGCCCGGCAGUGGAAUGUUAUUUUUUACUUGAAAGAGCUUUUCUCAUACUCCCACGAGUGACUUUUAUUCUUAGUGUUUCUCAUCCAUUAUUGUCUCUUUUAAAGAUGACGCUCGCUGAAUCUCAGAAGGUGGUGUGCUGCAACAAUCUCUGACGCUGGUAAAACCUAUGUUGUUGAUGAUGGCUGUGCUGAAUCAGCGUUUGGUUUAGGGGCAGUUGAAGGCGAUGAUUGUGGAGGAGAGGAGUGAGUUUGGUUUGUCACACGCUGUGUUUUGCCUCUCUUGGUUUCUUGGGUUGUUGUGGACAGAAGCUGCUUGGCUCGCCACCUUAAAAUCUAGUUGUUUCUGUUCCUUUUCUUCAGGUGGAAUCUGCUUCUUUUCUUAUGUUUUAGAUAUGAAAAAUCAGAAACAUGUGUAGUAUCAUAAAUCUUUUGGAAGAAAAUUAAAACGUAAGUGAUGCAUGCUUAGUUGUUUUUGGUGUUGAUUGAAGAGCUGCCAAUUCCAGGAUCUCUGUGAAUCUUGUUUGUCCAUAGCACACUGCCUUUCUACAGUAUAUCACUACCCAUAUCUACUGCUUUGGUCCUUAGCUCAACCAAGUAGCGGUCAAUUUCAUUUUUCGUGCUUUGCAACAUAUGCUCUAAGACUACCAAGGGGGUUGGCCUAGUGAUUCCGUGGAAGUUCGGCUCCCAAGGUUUGAUUCCCGUUAGGAGGGGAUUAAGCAACCGGCUCUUGUCCUUACCUCUGGGAUUAGUCGGGUCUUUAGGGGCCGGAUGACCCGG
rnacentral:lncRNA from 1 species